CGGCGUGCUGGAAGCCAGCAAACACGGAGGCCCCGCUCAGAUGCCUCUCCCGGGAGGGCGGGAAUUAAUCAGGGAAUGUUUACUGCACGCCCGGGAGGGAGGCUGCACGGAGACUGUGCCCAGGGAAUCGUGUCGGCCUGGGGGGCCUCACCGUCCAUAGGAGGGCCGUCCGCCGCAGGAACCCUCCUCCUGGUUCUCUCCCGGAUGUCAGGCUCACCACGCAGCAAGUGAAACCGGUUUCUGUGGGGCUGAACCGCUUUCCCUGGGCCUGCGCGGGCAGCCGCCUCUGGAUCGCAUUAAGCUGCAUAAAUAACAAGGCUGUUGUCAGAUUCCCCCUGGUCGAGGCCUCUGUCCUUGGAGUCAGCGCAUCCUUGGAGCCCAGGCCAGUGACCCGCGUAGUAGGGGCUCAAUAAUAAUGGACUAGCUGGUGGAAGGAGACGGAGCAGGCAGCAGUGUGAAGUUCAAAGGCUCGGCUCACACCUGAUUCUCCCAGGGAGGGCUGCCCCCAGGACCGAACCCCCCUGCUUAUAUGAGGGGGGCGACCACCAUGCGCCAUGCUCUGCAGAACUGCAGCCUGGAUGGGGGGCUUCAAAGCACGCCUGCCGAUAGAUCAAGCGUCCUUUCCAACAGGAUAGCCCCCUCCUUGCUCACCUCCCCAAAUAAACCUGCGUAAUGAAGACAGAUGGCCUAGCUCAGUGCCGCCGCGUGCAGGUGGGGCCAGGGCGGCCCGAGGCCACACACCCCACCCUGGAGCGGGGCCUGAGGUGUCACCAGGACGGAGACCAACCUGCACCCCCUUCAUCACCGACCCCCCACCAGGGGCAGCAUCUCUAUGUGAUAAGCCAGGGUUCAUAUUUGCAUGCCGCCCUUUACAAAUAUCCAGCUCGAAGCCGGUAGCCCCGACUCC
rnacentral:lncRNA from 1 species